CGCACCUUGCGCUCCUUGGUAUUCCUUGGAGCAUGCCUGUUUUGAGUAUCUAAUGAAAUUCUCAAAACAAACCUUUUGUUAAUUCAUUUGGUUCCGUUUUGGACUUGGAGGCCUUGCGGAUUCACGUCUGCUCCUCUUAAAAGUCAUUAGUCUGGAUCUCAGUGAGCUUGGUUCCACUCGGCGUGAUAAGUAUCACUCGCUGAGGACACCCGUAAAAAGGUGGCCAGGAUUCGCAGAUGAACCGCUUCUAAUAGUCCGUUGAAUCGGGACAGCAUACUUUAUGAUCUGAUCUCAAAUCAGGUAGGACUACCCGCUGAACUUAA
rnacentral:rRNA from 1 species